rnacentral:misc_RNA from 1 species
AAGUCGUAACAAGGUUUCCGUAGGUGAACCUGCGGAAGGAUCAUUACCAAAUCCAAAUACCCAAACCCCAUGUGAACUAUUGUUUUUAGUCUGUCUUUGGGAGAAAAUAGCGAAAAUGUAUAUUUAAGAGUUCAUUCUCAUAUUAUAUUUUGGAGCUGUUUCUCCCAAUAGAGUCCGGCGCAAUUUUUUUGAUUUGUGUCCAGAUUCGAAACCCCCCUUUUUAUAAACCACUUGAUUUUUCUGUUGGAAUUUCUUUUAUUAAUUUCAAAUAAAAGACAACUUUUAACGGUGGAUCUCUUGGCUCGUG